rnacentral:rRNA from 1 species
GACAGAGGGUGCAAACGUUGCUCGGAAUCACUGGGCGUAAAGCGCGUGUAGGCGGCUUUGCAAGUCGGGUGUGAAAGCCCUCAGCUCAACUGAGGAAGUGCGCCCGAAACUGCAGAGCUUGAGUGCCGGAGAGGGUGGCGGAAUUCCCCAAGUAGAGGUGAAAUUCGUAGAUAUGGGGGAGGAACACCGGUGGCGAAGGCGGCCACCUGGACGGUAACUGACGCUGAGACGCGAAAGCGUGGGGAGCAAACAGG